AACGAACGCUGGCGGCAGGCUUAACACAUGCAAGUCGAGCGGUAACACAGAGGAGCUUGCUCCUUGGGUGGCGAGCGGCGGACGGGUGAGUAAUGCCUGGGGAUCUGCCCGAUAGAGGGGGAUAACUACGGGAAACUGUAGCUAAUACCGCAUAAUGUCUACGGACCAAAGUGGGGGCUCUUCGGACCUCAUGCUAUCGGAUGAACCCAGGUGGGAUUAGCUAGUUGGUGAGGUAAUGGCUCACCAAGGCGACGAUCUCUAACUGGUUUGAGAGAAUGACCAGUCACACUGGAACUGAGACACGGUCCAGACUCCUACGGGAGGCAGCAGUGGGGAAUAUUGCACAAUGGGCGCAAGCCUGAUGCAGCCAUGCCGCGUGUGUGAAGAAGGCCUUCGGGUUGUAAAGCACUUUCAGCGGGGAGGAAGGGUCGCUAGUUAAUACCUAGUGGCAUUGACGUUACUCGCAGAAGAAGCACCGGCUAACUCCGUGCCAGCAGCCGCCGUAAAAC
rnacentral:rRNA from 1 species